AAAAAACGAUCAGUUGAAAAAAGGAAAAAAAAUAUCCGAAAAUUGGUCCGCCGGCUCAUGGAACUGAUUCCUUUGUAAAGUUUUCCAGUUAAAGAAUAUAUUAAUGGUUUGCGGAUUCAAAGGCCGAAAUGAAGGCUGGAAGUUAUCAUCACUGCUGCAGAGAUGGAUUAAAUGUCAAAAACAUCCAAGUCCGUUUCCCAUAGAUCCCGGUGACGGCAAGAAUGUUCAGCAGCAGUCGGCUUAUUUUGCAGCUGUUUUGUCCGGUACGCUAAACUGGCCCGGGCCAUAGCUGGUGUGUGAAUGCCCUGAACUAUAGCCGGCCGGCUAUUCGGAUUUCGGCAAAUGGGCGCUUUGCCCCGACCUUCGGCCGACAUCAGCACCUUCUUGCUCUCCCGGUGGUAGUCGGUUAUGAAGGUGGAACUGCCGCCUGCCGCUGCUGCAAAAUGGGCAGCAUUAUCGGGAAUCAGCACUGGUGGUCAACAAAACGCAUGUGUAGCUUUAGUGGUAGUAUCAUGUUUUUAUUUAAUUAAACGUAUUUGAAAAAUUAAAAU